rnacentral:rRNA from 1 species
GGGCAGCAUGGUCUUAGCUUGCUAAGGCUGAUGGCGACCGGCGCACGGGGUGAGUAACACGUAUCCAACCUGCCGUCUACUCUUGGCCAGCCUUCUGAAAGGAAGAUUAAUCCAGGAUGGGAUCAUGAGUUCACAUGUCCGCAUGAUUAAAGGUAUUUUCCGGUAGACGAUGGGGAUGCGUUCCAUUAGAUAGUAGGCGGGGUAACGGCCCACCUAGUCAACGAUGGAUAGGGGUUCUGAGAGGAAGGUCCCCCACAUUGGAACUGAGACACGGUCCAAACUCCUACGGGAGGCAGCAGUGAGGAAUAUUGGUCAAUGGGCGAUGGCCUGAACCAGCCAAGUAGCGUGAAGGAUGACUGCCCUAUGGGUUGUAAACUUCUUUUAUAAAGGAAUAAAGUCGGGUAUGCAUACCCGUUUGCAUGUACUUUAUGAAUAAGGAUCGGCUAACUCCGUGCCAGCAGCCGCGGUAAUACGGAGGAUCCGAGCGUUAUCCGGAUUUAUUGGGUUUAAAGGGAGCGUAGAUGGAUGUUUAAGUCAGUUGUGAAAGUUUGCGGCUCAACCGUAAAAUUGCAGUUGAUACUGGAUGUCUUGGGUGCAGUUGAGGCAGGCGGAAUUCGUGGUGUA